rnacentral:rRNA from 1 species
GAUGAACGCUAGCGGCAGGCUUAACACAUGCAAGUCGAGGGGUAUAGUUCUUCGGAACUAGAGACCGGCGCACGGGUGCGUAACGCGUAUGCAAUCUACCUUUUACAGGGGGAUAGCCCAGAGAAAUUUGGAUUAAUACCCCAUAGUAUGUUAGAGUGGCGUCAUUUUAACAUUAAAGUUCCAACGGUAAAAGAUGAGCAUGCGUCCCAUUAGCUAGAUGGUAAGGUAACGGCUUACCAUGGCGACGAUGGGUAGGGGUCCGGAGAGGGAGAUCCCCCACACUGGUACUGAGACACGGACCAGACUCCUACGGGAGGCAGCAGUGAGGAAUAUUGGACAAUGGGCGCAAGCCUGAUCCAGCCAUGCCGCGUGCAGGAAGACGGUCCUAUGGAUUGUAAACUGCUUUUGUACAGGAAGAAACACUCCCUCGUGAGGGAGCUUGACGGUACUGUAAGGAUAAGGAUCGGCUAACUCCGUGCCAGCCGCCGCCGUAAGAC